CCUACGGGUGGCAGCAGUGGGGAAUAUUGGGCAAUGGGCGCAAGCCUGACCCAGCAACGCCGCGUGAAGGACGAAGGCUUUCGGGUUGUAAACUUCUUUUCUCAGGGACGAAGAAAGUGACGGUACCUCAGGAAUAAGCCACGGCUAACUACGUGCCAGCAGCCGCGGUAAUACGUAGGUGGCAAGCGUUAUCCGGAUUUAUUGGGUGUAAAGGGCGUGUAGGCGGGACAGCAAGUCAGAUGUGAAAACUCAGGGCUAAACCUGGAGCCUGCAGUUGAAACUGUAGUUCUUGAGUGCUGGAGAGGCAAGCGGAAUUCCGAGUGUAGCGGUGAAAUGCGUAGAUAUAAGGAGGAACACCAGUGGCGAAGGCGGAUUGCUGGACAGUAACUGACGCUGAGGCGCGAAAGCGUGGGGAGCAAACAGGAUUAGAUACCCCAGUAGUC
rnacentral:rRNA from 1 species